UCUGAAAUAAAGAUGAAAUGAGGGUUUUG
rnacentral:piRNA from 1 species